UCAACUUUCUUUCUCUUUGGCUUCACUUUAUCAGUUCGCUUGUUUGAUUGAUAAUCGCACGGAUUUUGAUCCCAAAAAAAUGAUAAUCGCACGGAUAAAUUAACAAUAACAACGAACCAAAUAUUUAAAUUUAUAUGAAUGAUACCAAAAUAUAGUUUUAGAACACCUAAGUUGAUCAACAUAUGACAAAAAAUCCCGUAAGGUUUUGUUCCAAAUGUAUUUACCAUUUUGGGGAAAGUUACAACAUAAACAAUACAUUUAGGUUUUUAUAUAAAGGAUUCGUAAAAUUAAAUAAUUUAAUCUUACCAUUUUAUUCAAUAUUAUUUAAAUUAUUUCUUUUUUCUUCUAAAUUUAAAUGAUUUCUACAAAAUAUGUCCUUAGAGACAUCCAAUAAAAUAAUUUAUAAGAAACUUUAAAUUUUUUAUACCGUUUCGAUGGUAAACAAAUUUUGUUGAUAUUUUGAAAUAGCCUAUUAAAAAUACCUAACAUAUGAUAAUUGUGCGAAUAAUAUUUUGAGUGUAGGAGACGAGUUUUAAAUUUAAUAAAUACUUAUAUAAGACAAAUUGACGUGUUUGUCAACAAACCAAACACUCAAGAUAAUGAAAUGAUGGCGUAUUUUAAGCUAAACAUUAAAUUUAAUUAUUAAUUUAUUUCUUUUAUCAGUCAAAUAUCAACGACGCAUUUGCUAGAUUUCCGUUGAAAAAGAAGUUGGACUUCUCGUCACGGGUUUCACUUUCACCGAAAAAUAUCUGUCUUCGCUUUCCAAGUGUCUGCUAUUAUUUAACAUUUUACCA